GAUGAAGAACGUAGCGAAAUGCGAUAAGUAGUGUGAAUUGCAGAAUUCAGUGAAUCAUCGAAUCUUUGAACGCACAUUGCGCCCGGCAGUACUCUGCCGGGCAUGCCUGCUCGAGCGUCAUUUCAACCCUCAAGCCCUGCUUGGUGUUGGGGUCCCACGGCCGCCGUGGGCCCUGAAAGGAAGUGGCGGGCUCGCUACAACUCCGAGCGUAGUAAUUCAUUAUCUCGCUUAGGGCGUUGGGCGGCGCUCCUGCCGUUAAAGAACCAUCUUUAACUCAAGGUUGACCUCGGAUCAGGUAGGAAUACCCGCUGAACUUAAGCAUAUCAAUAAGCGGAGGA
rnacentral:misc_RNA from 1 species